rnacentral:lncRNA from 1 species
CACUACUUACUGGAGAAGAGCAACAUCUGCUCAUAAUGCAUCAAAAGACCAGGUCUGUUGAGGGGGACGUGGGGAAGAGGCACUAGCAAAGCCCCGCACUCAGCAAACAAAACCCAUGACGCUUCCCACCUCGCGCAAAGGAAGCGCAGGCUUUGGCCCCCGCAGAAGGACGGCUGAGCGCAACCGACAGCAGCUCGGCUGCAAGGACGUGUGUGGCCCCUUGCCAUCCAUGGACACGCUGUCCCAGCCACCCCGGGCAGCUCCUGCAGCGUGAGGUAAUGGCGAGUGGGCAGCCAACAAGAGACCUGAGGACAGAGCCAAAAAAUACAUGGAAAUUGAGAGAAGAGUGAUAACGCAAAAGGGAUGUGAGCGCUAAGCAGCAGAAGGGCACAAGAAAACAUGAGAGGCAAAUGGAAGCUGCAGCAGAGCCCAGCACAGGUAGCAGGAUACAGUUGGCAGGAACCAUUCACAUUUCCAAAAUGAAGCUUUAACUAAGCCUUGCAAGGUGGAGUUCAUUUUCAGCAGCAAGAUCUCUACCAGAGAGUUGUUACAAAUCUGAUAGAUCAUUAAUACUUUAUUUUAUACAUAUCUUUAAUUGACAAUAUAGUAUGUAGGUCAGGCUGUACUUUUGGGAGAGAUUUCCACCUGCUCCCUAUGUUUGCCUUGAUCGGAAAUGAAAUGCUUGCUUGCAAGUGACUAUAAAAUGUACUCCUAAAUUAUCCACAGGACUCUCCCUCUGAGUCCAAGGCUAGUCAUUGUUAACAGAUGGGACUUCAGUCUGUCAUUAAGCCAUGUUUGAGCUAGAAGUAGAAUUAAUGUUCAGAGAGGAGAAUACAAAAUGCAGGAUCCCAGUGUCUUUAAACUCAGAUAUAUGCCACGCAGUGAGUUGUUUUCCAUUUAGCUCCCUUGGUCAGGGACAGUAAACAUAUGAAAGGAAGUUAAUUAGCCCCUCUGAAGGAAUUUUUCCAACAAACCAUCAUCAAAAUGCGAAUGCUAUCUGAAAGUCAGUACAUACCUUUAGAGGAACUUUGGAAGAAAUGCAGGUAACGAGGAAAAACGGUAUUCCUGGCCUGUUUAUCCCCCAAAGCAAUGAAAAAAUGUUCAGACGGUAUAGCUGCAUCUGGAAAGGACGUGUGUUGACAGCAUGAGGAAGCAGAAUAUGAGUCUUGAAAACUCUAUAUUAAACAGGUACCUUUUUCAGUAUGCCUGAAAGGAAAUCAAAUAUGACGUAUUUCAGGACAGUGGGUCCUGGAGACCUAGAGCUUUUGUACAGC